AUGAUCUCGGUCGUCCUACCCGCUACUGCGUCGCCGGCUGUGAAUGUCACUAGUGUACGUUCUCACAUCUCGGUCACCCUGGACCUCCAUGCUUCCAACUUCACCAAGUGGAGGAUGAUGGUUUGUGUCCUUCUCGGGAAGUACAAUAUGCUCUCCCACAUCAAUGCCAUCACAGCCGAGGUGGACCGCACCCCGGACUGGACUUGCAAAGACUAUAUUGUCUGCUUGUGGCUUUACAGGUCCAUCUCCGAUGAGAUUCUGGACAUUAUCAUGGUGGACCAAACUACUCAGGAGGCUUGGACGCUCAUCUCCAACCUUUUCCUUGACAAUCAGUUGACUCGCACGGUCUAUCUCGAGACAGAAUUCCGUGGCCUCGUCCAAGGCGAUCUCUCUACCACCGCCUACUGCCAUCGUCUGAAGGCGCUCCCCGACGCCCUGAGUGACGUCGGUACCCCCGUGUCCGACCAAAAUCUCGUCCUCAACUGCCUCUGUGGGCUUAAUCCGUGCUUCUCCGACAUCACGACUAUCGUGACUAUGCAGGACCCUCUUCCAUCUUUCAGCCAGACGAGGUCCCUGCUCACUCUACAUGGAACUCAGCUCACGAACUCCGUCGCUAUUGGGAACCAGACCGCCCUCUAUGGAGGUGCGCCCUCCCACGACACCGGUGGCUCCAACCCACCU
rnacentral:rRNA from 1 species